UACGGGGGGAGCAAGCGUUGUUCGGAUUUACUGGGCGUAAAGGGCGCGUAGGCGGCCAGCACAAGUCAGUUGUGAAAUCUCCGGGCUUAACUCGGAAAGGUCAACUGAUACUGUGCGACUAGAGUGCGGAAGGGGCAACUGGAAUUCUCGGUGUAGCGGUGAAAUGCGUAGAUAUCAGGAAGAACACCCGGUGGCGAAGGCGGACUCUCG
rnacentral:rRNA from 1 species